GAUGAACGCUGGCGGCGUGCCUAAUACAUGCAAGUCGAGCGAACGGACGAGAAGCUUGCUUCUCUGAUGUUAGCGGCGGACGGGUGAGUAACACGUGGAUAACCUACCUAUAAGACUGGGAUAACUUCGGGAAACUGGAGCUAAUACCGGAUAAUAUUUUGAACCGCAUGGUUUAAAAGUGAAAGACGGUCUUGCUGUCACUUAUAGAUGGAUCCGCGCUGCAUUAGCUAGUUGGUAAGGUAACGGCUUACCAAGGCAACGAUGCAUAGCCGACCUGAGAGGGUGAUCGGCCACACUGGAACUGAGACACGGUCCAGACUCCUACGGGAGGCAGCAGUAGGGAAUCUUCCGCAAAGGGCGAAAGCCUGACGGAGCAACGCCGCGUGAGUGAUGAAGGUCUUCGGAUCGUAAAACUCUGUUAUUAGGGAAGAACAUAUGUGUAAGUAACUGUGCACAUCUUGACGGUACCUAAUCAGAAAGCCACGGCUAACUACGUG
rnacentral:rRNA from 1 species